UUAUAUGUAGGUAGUAAAAGUCCAAAAAAUGAAAUCUAGAUAAAAAAAAAGAAAAGCUUUAUAACUGAGCAGAGGUGCUGUUACUAGAACUGAGCAGAGGUGCUGUUACUAGAACUGAGCAGGUGCUGUUACUAGAACUGAGCAGAGGUGCUGUUACUAGAACUGAGCAGAGGUGCUGUUACUAGAACUGAGAAGAGGUGCUGUUACUAGAACUGAGAAGAGGUGCUGUUACUAGAACUGAGAAGAGGUGCUGUUACUAGAACUGAGCAGAGGUGCUGUUACUAGAACUGAGCAGAGGUGCUGUUACUAGAACUGAGCAGAGGUGCUGUUACUAGAACUGAGCAGGUGCUGUUACUAGAACUGAGCAGAGGUGCUGUUACUAGAACUGAGCAGAGGUGCUGUUACUAGAACUGAGAAGAGGUGCUGUUACUAGAACUGAGCAGAGGUGCUGUUACUAGAACUGAGCAGGUGCUGUUACUAGAACUGAGCAGAGGUGCUGUUACUAGAACUGAGCAGGUGCUGUUACUAGAACUGAGCAGAGGUGCUGUUACUAGAACUGAGCAGGUGCUCUUACUAGAACUGAGCAGGUGCUGUUACUAGAACUGAGCAGAGGUGCUGUUACUAGAACUGAGAAGAGGUGCUGUUACUAGAACUGAGCAGAGGUGCUGUUACUAGAACUGAGCAGAGGUGCUGUUACUAGAACUGAGCAGGUGCUGUUACUAGAACUGAGCAGAGGUGCUGUUACUAGAACUGAGCAGAGGUGCUGUUACUAGAACUGAGCAGAGGUGCUGUUACUAGAACUGAGCAGGUGCUGUUACUAGAACUGAGCAGGUGCUGUUACUAGAACUGAGAAGAGGUGCUGUUACUAGAACUGAGCAGAGGUGCUGUUACUAGAACUGAGCAGGUGCUGUUACUAGAACUGAGCAGAGGUGCUGUUACUAGAACUGAGCAGAGGUGCUGUUACUAGAACUGAGCAGAGGUGCUGUUACUAGAACUGAGCAGAGGUGCUGUUACUAGAACUGAGAAGAGGUGCUGUUACUAGAACUGAGCAGAGGUGCUGUUACUAGAACUGAGCAGAGGUGCUGUUACUAGAACUGAGCAGAGGUGCUGUUACUAGAACUGAGCAGGUGCUGUUACUAGAACUGAGCAGAGGUGCUGUUACUAGAACUGAGCAGAGGUGCUGUUACUAGAACUGAGCAGAGGUGCUGUUACUAGAACUGAGAAGAGGUGCUGUUACUAGAACUGAGCAGAGGUGCUGUUACUAGAACUGAGCAGAGGUGCUGUUACUAGAACUGAGCAGAGGUGCUGUUACUAGAACUGAGCAGAGGUGCUGUUACUAGAACUGAGCAGGUGCUGUUACUAGAACUGAGCAGAGGUGCUGUUACUAGAACUGAGCAGAGGUGCUGUUACUAGAACUGAGCAGAGGUGCUCUUACUAGAACUGAGCAGGUGCUGUUACGAGAACUGAGCAGGUGCUGUUACUAGAACUGAGAAGAGGUGCUGUUACUAGAACUGAGCAGAGGUGCUGUUACUAGAACUGAGCAGGUGCUGUUACUAGAACUGAGAAGAGGUGCUGUUACUAGAACUGAGCAGAGGUGCUGUUACUAGAACUGAGCAGGUGCUGUUACUAGAACUGAGCAGGUGCUGUUACUAGAACUGAGAAGAGGUGCUGUUACUAGAACUGAGCAGAGGUGCUGUUACUAGAACUGAGCAGGUGCUGUUACUAGAACUGAGCAGAGGUGCUGUUACUAGAACUGAGCAGAGGUGCUGUUACUAGAACUGAGCAGAGGUGCUGUUACUAGAACUGAGCAGAGGUGCUGUUACUAGAACUGAGCAGGUGCUGUUACUAGAACUGAGCAGAGGUGCUGUUACUAGAACUGAGCAGGUGCUGCUUCUAGAACUGAGCAGGUGCUGCGUCGUACUGAUCCAGAGAGGGAGAUGCGCUGUAUGCCGUAUGCCUGUCUAAAUCAACAUUGUUUUUCCUCAUCAUCACAAAGCUGAUAAUCUAGUCCACCCUAGGGUCUAAAGUUGUGCACUACUACCCUAUAGACCCUGGUCUAAAGUAGUGUACGACUUCCCUAUAGACCCUGGUCUAAAGUAGUGCACUACUACCCUAUAGACCCUGG